rnacentral:rRNA from 1 species
UACGAGGGGUCCUAGCGUUGCUCGGAAUCAUUGGGCGUAAAGCGGGUGUAGGCGGACAAUUAAGUCAGAUGUGAAAGCCCCAGGCUCAACCUGGGAAGUGCAUUUGAAACUGGUUGUCUUGAGUGCAGUAGAGGAAGGUGGAAUUCCAAGUGUAGUGGUGAAAUACGUAGAUAUUUGGAGGAACAUCGGUGGCGAAGGCGACCUUCUGGACUGUUACUGACGCUGAGACCCGAAAGCGUGGGGAUCAAACAGG